AUUGAACGCUGGCGGAAUGCUUUACACAUGCAAGUCGAACGGCAGCACGGACUUCGGUCUGGUGGCGAGUGGCGAACGGGUGAGUAAUACAUCGGAACGUGCCCAGUCGUGGGGGAUAACGUAGCGAAAGCUACGCUAAUACCGCAUACGAUCUAAGGAUGAAAGCGGGGGAUCGCAAGACCUCGCGCGAUUGGAGCGGCCGAUGGCAGAUUAGGUAGUUGGUGGGGUAAAGGCUCACCAAGCCGACGAUCUGUAGCUGGUCUGAGAGGACGACCAGCCACACUGGGACUGAGACACGGCCCAGACUCCUACGGGAGGCAGCAGUGGGUAAUUUUGGACAAUGGGCGCAAGCCUGAUCCAGCCAUUCCGCGUGCAGGAUGAAGGCCCUCGGGUUGUAAACUGCUUUUGUACGGAACGAAAAGGCUCUGGUUAAUACCUGGGGUCCAUGACGGUACCGUAAGAAUAAGCACCGGCUAACUACGUGCCAGCCGCCGCAGUAACAC
rnacentral:rRNA from 1 species